rnacentral:rRNA from 1 species
GGUUAAGCGACUAAGCGUACACGGUGGAUGCCCUGGCAGUCAGAGGCGAUGAAGGACGUGCUAAUCUGCGAUAAGCGUCGGUAAGGUGAUAUGAACCGUUAUAACCGGCGAUUUCCGAAUGGGGAAACCCAGUGUGUUUCGACACACUAUCAUUAACUGAAUCCAUAGGUUAAUGAGGCGAACCGGGGGAACUGAAACAUCUAAGUACCCCGAGGAAAAGAAAUCAACCGAGAUUCCCCCAGUAGCGGCGAGCGAACGGGGAGCAGCCCAGAGCCUGAAUCAGUGUGUGUGUUAGUGGAAGCGUCUGGAAAGGCGCGCGAUACAGGGUGACAGCCCCGUACACAAAAAUGCACAUGCUGUGAGCUCGAUGAGUAGGGCGGGACACGUGGUAUCCUGUCUGAAUAUGGGGGGACCAUCCUCCAAGGCUAAAUACUCCUGACUGACCGAUAGUGAACCAGUACCGUGAGGGAAAGGCGAAAAGAACCCCGGCGAGGGGAGUGAAAAAGAACCUGAAACCGUGUACGUACAAGCAGUGGGAGCACGCUUAGGCGUGUGACUGCGUACCUUUUGUAUAAUGGGUCAGCGACUUAUAUUCUGUAGCAAGGUUAACCGAAUAGGGGAGCCGAAGGGAAACCGAGUCUUAACUGGGCGUUAAGUUGCAGGGUAUAGACCCGAAACCCGGUGAUCUAGCCAUGGGCAGGUUGAAGGUUGGGUAACACUAACUGGAGGACCGAACCGACUAAUGUUGAAAAAUUAGCGGAUGACUUGUGGCUGGGGGUGAAAGGCCAAUCAAACCGGGAGAUAGCUGGUUCUCCCCGAAAGCUAUUUAGGUAGCGCCUCGUGAAUUCAUCUCCGGGGGUAGAGCACUGUUUCGGCAAGGGGGUCAUCCCGACUUACCAACCCGAUGCAAACUGCGAAUACCGGAGAAUGUUAUCACGGGAGACACACGGCGGGUGCUAACGUCCGUCGUGAAGAGGGAAACAACCCAGACCGCCAGCUAAGGUCCCAAAGUCAUGGUUAAGUGGGAAACGAUGUGGGAAGGCCCAGACAGCCAGGAUGUUGGCUUAGAAGCAGCCAUCAUUUAAAGAAAGCGUAAUAGCUCACUGGUCGAGUCGGCCUGCGCGGAAGAUGUAACGGGGCUAAACCAUGCACCGAAGCUGCGGCAGCGACGCUUAUGCGUUGUUGGGUAGGGGAGCGUUCUGUAAGCCUGUGAAGGUGUGUUGUGAGGCAUGCUGGAGGUAUCAGAAGUGCGAAUGCUGACAUAAGUAACGAUAAAGCGGGUGAAAAGCCCGCUCGCCGGAAGACCAAGGGUUCCUGUCCAACGUUAAUCGGGGCAGGGUGAGUCGACCCCUAAGGCGAGGCCGAAAGGCGUAGUCGAUGGGAAACAGGUUAAUAUUCCUGUACUUGGUGUUACUGCGAAGGGGGGACGGAGAAGGCUAUGUUGGCCGGGCGACGGUUGUCCCGGUUUAAGCGUGUAGGCUGGUUUUCCAGGCAAAUCCGGAAAAUCAAGGCUGAGGCGUGAUGACGAGGCACUACGGUGCUGAAGCAACAAAUGCCCUGCUUCCAGGAAAAGCCUCUAAGCAUCAGGUAACAUCAAAUCGUACCCCAAACCGACACAGGUGGUCAGGUAGAGAAUACCAAGGCGCUUGAGAGAACUCGGGUGAAGGAACUAGGCAAAAUGGUGCCGUAACUUCGGGAGAAGGCACGCUGAUAUGUAGGUGAAGUCCCUCGCGGAUGGAGCUGAAAUCAGUCGAAGAUACCAGCUGGCUGCAACUGUUUAUUAAAAACACAGCACUGUGCAAACACGAAAGUGGACGUAUACGGUGUGACGCCUGCCCGGUGCCGGAAGGUUAAUUGAUGGGGUCAGCGCAAGCGAAGCUCUUGAUCGAAGCCCCGGUAAACGGCGGCCGUAACUAUAACGGUCCUAAGGUAGCGAAAUUCCUUGUCGGGUAAGUUCCGACCUGCACGAAUGGCGUAAUGAUGGCCAGGCUGUCUCCACCCGAGACUCAGUGAAAUUGAACUCGCUGUGAAGAUGCAGUGUACCCGCGGCAAGACGGAAAGACCCCGUGAACCUUUACUAUAGCUUGACACUGAACAUUGAGCCUUGAUGUGUAGGAUAGGUGGGAGGCUUAGAAGUGUGGACGCCAGUCUGCAUGGAGCCGACCUUGAAAUACCACCCUUUAAUGUUUGAUGUUCUAACGUUGACCCGUAAUCCGGGUUGCGGACAGUGUCUGGUGGGUAGUUUGACUGGGGCGGUCUCCUCCUAAAGAGUAACGGAGGAGCACGAAGGUUGGCUAAUCCUGGUCGGACAUCAGGAGGUUAGUGCAAUGGCAUAAGCCAGCUUGACUGCGAGCGUGACGGCGCGAGCAGGUGCGAAAGCAGGUCAUAGUGAUCCGGUGGUUCUGAAUGGAAGGGCCAUCGCUCAACGGAUAAAAGGUACUCCGGGGAUAACAGGCUGAUACCGCCCAAGAGUUCAUAUCGACGGCGGUGUUUGGCACCUCGAUGUCGGCUCAUCACAUCCUGGGGCUGAAGUAGGUCCCAAGGGUAUGGCUGUUCGCCAUUUAAAGUGGUACGCGAGCUGGGUUUAGAACGUCGUGAGACAGUUCGGUCCCUAUCUGCCGUGGGCGCUGGAGAACUGAGGGGGGCUGCUCCUAGUACGAGAGGACCGGAGUGGACGCAUCACUGGUGUUCGGGUUGUCAUGCCAAUGGCACUGCCCGGUAGCUAAAUGCGGAAGAGAUAAGUGCUGAAAGCAUCUAAGCACGAAACUUGCCCCGAGAUGAGUUCUCCCUGAC